rnacentral:sRNA from 1 species
GUGGGAAAAGAUGGCGGCUGCCGCACAAUCCCGGGUUGUCCGGGUCCUGUCAAUGUCACGUUCUGCCAUUACUGCAAUAGCCACAUCUGUGUGUCACGGCCCACCCCGUCGCCAGCUUCAUCAUGCCCUCAUACCUCAUGGGAAAGGUGGACGUUCCUCAGUCAGUGGGAUUGUGGCCACUGUGUUUGGAGCAACAGGAUUCCUGGGGCGAUAUGUUGUCAACCACCUUGGACGCAUGGGGUCACAGGUAAUCAUACCCUAUCGGUGUGAUACAUAUGACAUCAUGCACCUUCGUCCAAUGGGUGACCUGGGCCAGCUUCUGUUUCUGGAAUGGGACGCGAGAGAUAAAGAUUCUAUCCGACGAGUAGUACAACACAGCAAUGUGGUCAUCAAUCUUAUUGGACGAGACUGGGAAACCAGAAACUUUGAUUUUGAGGAUGUUUUUGUGAAGAUUCCCCAAGCAAUUGCUCAACUGUCCAAGGAAGCUGGAGUUGAAAAAUUCAUUCAUGUUUCACAUCUGAAUGCGAAUAUUAAAAGCUCUUCUAGAUAUUUGAGAAAUAAGGCUGUUGGAGAGAAAGUAGUGAGAGAUGCAUUUCCAGAAGCCAUUAUCAUAAAGCCAUCGGACAUCUUUGGAAGAGAGGAUAGAUUCCUUAAUUCUUUUGCAAAGUCUCACUCUGUCACCCAGGUUGGAGUGCGGUGGCACGAUCUCGGCUCACUGCAACCUCUGCCUCCUGGGUUCAAGCGAUUCUCCAGCCUCAGCCUCCCAAGUAGCUGGGACUACAGGUAUGCAUCGGUUUGGUCCUACACCCCUUGGUUCCUUGGGCUGGAAGACAGUUAAACAACCAGUAUAUGUAAGUACUUGGAUGAAGGGGGUCAGAAAGGGAUUUUUGAUGAAUUCAGAUUUCAGUGAUCAAGUUUCUGGUUUUGUCCUAAUUUAGUAACUCUGUCAUUUUCUUUGUCAACUUGUGUCAGCUAGCUGCCUCUCAGUUUACUUAAGAGGUACAUGCCUUCUCUGUGUCUUCACUUGUUCAUUUAAG